rnacentral:rRNA from 1 species
AGAGUUUGAUCAUGGCUCAGGAUGAACGCUAGCGGCAAGCUUAAUACAUGCAAGUCGAGGGGCAGCGCAGUGUAGCAAUACAUGGGCGGCGACCGGCAAACGGGUGCGGAACACGUACAGAACCUUCCUUCGAGCGGGGAAUAGCCCAGAGAAAUUUGGAUUAAUACCCCAUAGCAUAUUGAAGUGGCAUCACUUUAAUAUUAAAGAUUUAUCACUUGAAGAUGGCUGUGCGGCUGAUUAGAUAGUUGGCGGGGUAACGGCCCACCAAGUCUGCGAUCAGUAACUGGUGUGAGAGCACGACCAGUCACACGGGCACUGAGACACGGGCCCGACUCCUACGGGAGGCAGCAGUAAGGAAUAUUGGUCAAUGGACGAAAGUCUGAACCAGCUAUGCCGCGUGGAGGAUGAAGGCCCUCUGGGUUGUAAACUUCUUUUAUAUGGGACGAAAAAGGGUCUUUCUAGAUCAACUGACGGUACCAUGUGAAUAAGCACCGGCUAACUCCGUGCCAGCAGCCGCGGUAAUACGGAGGGUGCAAGCGUUAUCCGGAUUCACUGGGUUUAAAGGGUGCGUAGGUGGGUUGGUAAGUCAGUGGUGAAAUCUCCGAGCUUAACUUGGAAACUGCCAUUGAUACUAUCAGUCUUGAAUAUUGUGGAGGUUAGCGGAAUAUGUCAUGUAGCGGUGAAAUGCUUAGAUAUGACAUAGAACACCAAUUGCGAAGGCAGCUGGCUACACAUAUAUUGACACUGAGGCACGAAAGCGUGGGGAUCAAACAGGAUUAGAUACCCUGGUAGUCC